GCGGAUGUGGUGGAACUGGUAGACACGUCAGACUUAGGAUCUGAUGCCGCGAGGUGUGCAGGUUCGAUUCCUGUCAUCCGCA
rfam:Nonlabens spongiae strain JCM 13191, complete genome.